AGCGAACGCUGGCGGCAGGCCUAACACAUGCAAGUCGAACGAUCCUUCGGGAUAGUGGCGGACGGGUGAGUAACACGUGGGAACGUGCCCUUUGGUUCGGAACAACUCAGGGAAACUUGAGCUAAUACCGGAUGUGCCCUUCGGGGGAAAGAUUUAUCGCCAUUGGAGCGGCCCGCGUAGGAUUAGCUAGUUGGUGGGGUAAUGGCCCACCAAGGCUCCGAUCCUUAGCUGGUCUGAGAGGAUGAUCAGCCUCACUGGGACUGAGACACGGCCCAGACUCCUACAGGAGGCAGCAGUGGGGAAUCUUGCGCAAUGGGCGAAAGCCUGACGCAGCCAUGCCGCGUGAAUGAUGAAGGUCUUAGGAUUGUAAAAUUCUUUCACCGGGGACGAUAAUGACGGUACCCGGAGAAGAAGCCCCGGCUAACUUCGUGCCAGCAGCCGCAGUAACAC
rnacentral:rRNA from 1 species